rnacentral:rRNA from 1 species
AGAGUUUGAUCCUGGCUCAGGAUGAACGCUGGCGGCGUGCCUAACACAUGCAAGUCGAGCGAUCUUCUUCGGAAGAGAGCGGCGGACGGGUGAGUAACGCGUGGGUAACCUGCCUCAUACACAUGGAUAACAUACCGAAAGGUAUGCUAAUACAAGAUGAUAUAAGAGAUUCGCAUGGAUUUCUUAUCAAAGCUCCGGCGGUAUGAGAUGGACCCGCGUCUGAUUAGCUAGUUGGUAAGGUAACGGCUUACCAAGGCGACGAUCAGUAGCCGACCUGAGAGGGUGAUCGGCCACAUUGGAACUGAGACACGGUCCAAACUCCUACGGGAGGCAGCAGUGGGGAAUAUUGCACAAUGGGCGAAAGCCUGAUGCAGCAACGCCGCGUGAGCGAUGAAGGCCUUCGGGUCGUAAAGCUCUGUCCUCAAGGAAGAUAAUGACGGUACUUGAGGAGGAGGCCCCGGCUAACUACGUGCCAGCAGCCGCGGUAAUACGCAGGGGGCUAGCGUUAUCCGGAUUUACUGGGCGUAAAGGGUGCGUAGGUGGUUUCUUAAGUCAGGAGUGAAAGGCUACGGCUUAACCGUAGUAAGCUCUUGAAACUGGGAAACUUGAGUGCAGGAGAGGAAAGUGGAAUUCCUAGUGUAGCGGUGAAAUGCGUAGAUAUUAGGAGGAACACCAGUAGCGAAGGCGGCUUUCUGGACUGUAACUGACACUGAGGCACGAAAGCGUGGGGAGCAAACAGGAUUAGAUACCCUGGUAGUCCACGCCGUAAACGAUGAGUACUAGGUGUCGGGGGUUACCCCCCUCGGUGCCGCAGCUAACGCAUUAAGUACUCCGCCUGGGGAGUACGCUCGCAAGAGUGAAACUCAAAGGAAUUGACGG